GAAGGAGGUUCAGCGCGGAAGAAAUAUUACCAGACUUCGCCGAGCUGGUGUCUGGACUUUUUUGAUAAUCUCAUAGAGAUUGGGUGGGCAGAUGGGCGGUUGGAGUUCUGGGAGGGAACGACUGGUAACUUUAAGGGUAUACAUGAAGCCGAAAACACCCACAACAAUGGGGUAACUAACAUAAAGCUCGGUUGAGUAGACGAAUCGAUUCUCUGAGGCUGGAAACGUACACGCAAGGUUGUCAUAUCGAUUGGGGAUUUACGUCUGCAUAUGGGCGAACCCACGCACGCACCGGUUCGGCAGGAAGCAUUAUGUAAAGAAACGUUCAGGAUAGGCCCCUCGCUCACCAGAAGUACUAUGAC